rnacentral:lncRNA from 1 species
UCAUAAUGAGGCUUCUCUCUUGGAGUUACAGUGGGAUUUUGGGGGGCUGGAUUGCCUGUCCUCACAUUCUCCCUCCUUGUCCAGCAUAUCUUGAAAAGAUCCAUAGGAGCAUAAUAUGUUGCUUUUAAAUUUAAGUAUAGGAAGAAAUCUUAAAAUGCUGUAUUUUUAUGUUUAAUUUCAAUGCCUCAUUUGAGAAAUGUUUUGGGAUGUUUAAUAAAAGUUAAAUUGUUUUAAAGAAUACUAUGAAAUAAUCUGUAAUAUGUCAA